GGGGGAGGAAAAGGGGGUGAGAAAGGAGGGUGCGCAAAGGGUGCCGGGACAGGAGCGUCGGCUCGUCUAUGACGUCAAACUAGUUUCUGCAGCGAGCGACGCGCGGAGAGAACCCGGAAAUACCGCGUCCCCGUAGUGGGAGUCGAUAGCGGAGGACCCGCACCCACCCACCCCCCCCUCGAGGCCGAGGUUCAUGCGAUUGGAAAACUUGCCGAACGAAGUGGACGCGAAGGGAGAAUAAAACUAUGACUACGGGGGCGGAGAGGCGAAAAGGGAUGUGCAGCGGGUAGACGAAGGCAGCAGCAGCAGCAGCAGCAGCAGCAGCAGGUGCGCGAGGCUCUGCAGGUAGAUAGAUGAUCGAGAAUCCCCCGAGACACUCCACGCUUGUACACCGAUGACGUAAGGGAUAGAAAAAAAAACCAAUCAACAAAAU